AGCCCUGAAGUAUAAGUACAUUAGAUUGCAAAUCUAAAGAAGCAGGUUAGCGCCGGCCGGGGCUU
ensembl:Mt_tRNA